UGGAGCGACCGGUCGGGCAUUGAUUUGUCUGCACUGGAGUCGGUUCCGUCCAUCCUCUUGGAAAGUGCGUAUGGCAUUAAGUUGUCGUGCGUAUGAUCCAGGUCUUUUACUGUGAAAAAAUUAGAGUGUUUAAAGCAGGCCUUCGCCUUGAAUACAUUAGCAUGGAAUAAUAAGAUAGGACUUGGGUCUAUUUUGUUGGUUUGCAGACCGAAGUAAUGAUUAAUAGGGAUAGUUGGGGGUAUUUAUAUUCCGAUGUCAGAGGUGAAAUUCUUAGAUUUUCGGAAGAUAAACUUAUGCGAAAGCAUUUACCAAGGAUGUUUUCAUUAAUCAAGAACGAAAGUUAGGGGAUCGAAGAUGAUUAGAUACCAUCGUAGUCUUAACCAUAAACUAUGCCGACUCAGGAUUGGUGAACGUUGAUUUAAUGACUUCAUCAGCACUGUAUGAGAAAUCAAAGUCUUUGG
rnacentral:rRNA from 1 species